rnacentral:rRNA from 1 species
UUGACCUCGGAAGCAGGGUAGGAAUACCC